AACCAUAGUGUUAUGUUACAAUAAUUAGUGAUAUUUUGUUAUGGAACUAAUUACAUCAAGAAAAAGACUCGCAAAGAGAACAGAACUAUUUCCCAGCGGCAAGCUAGCACAUGCGCAGAAGCAGCUGACCACAUCAAAAGGAUGAAGUGAAGCUAGCCGAGCCUGUCUCCUAGCAACAAGAUAACGCAUGCGUAUAGCUUCUCGGCAACAGAACAGAGCCGGCGCAGAGAGACCUGAUGACGUAAAACAGAGGAAUCAGACAAAAGGAGGGGACUUU